rnacentral:lncRNA from 1 species
GGUACUCAGGACAUUCCGUUGGGCUAGAGAGGGAGAACCACUCAGCUGGCUUAAUGAAAGACACGGGUGUGGGACUUUGUCAGCAGAUGCAAGCCUGGAGCCACCACACAGCAGAGAGGAGUAGGAAACCAGAGUAUGGAAGCCCCUUCCUCUCCUGCACCAAAUCACUCACAGCACCAUGAUGGGCAGCAGUAGAAGGAUUAGAAACCACACCGCCCUGAUAGGAGUUGAACUUUUCUUCAACUGGCUCUUAAGCUGACAUGAGAUUGCGCUAGUUGGAAGAUACCAAGAUACUCUUAAAAGAGAAGAUGAAGUUCUCAUGUUUCAACCCCUAUUACUAUUGACUGUCAACUUCCCAAAAGACCCCAGAAAAACAUGUUAAUGGAACAAAACUAAGUUUAUUAGAUUUACUGUAGUAUAAGAGAAAACCACCUUGGUAGAGUCUUGAUAGUGCCUCAGGUUGACAAAGUCAGGGUCUGCACUGGGGGACUUCUAAGGUAGCUUUUGCAAGGUGGGGAGUAGCUUGGGACUGGGCAGGGUUUCUACCCUAACAAUUCUCAAUUGGUAAGCCCCGCAAGGCCAAGGAUCCUGAAGCAAAUCUAGAUAAGAAAGAUACUGGAUUUUAUAAGCUAGCUAUUUUAGUGGAUUUACUGCCUCAUUUUUGGUAAGCAAGUCUUCCUGAAGCAAGCAGAAUAAUACAAAGCUUUAACGAAGACCGCAGAAGAACUUCAUAUCUGAGUACCAUUUGCAAUCGAUUUACAAAUAAUGCCAGCAUCCUUAGCGACUUCUUCAGGCAAGGUUAUACUGGGGGUUUUUGAGGCUAAGCAGGUGAACUGGGAGUACCGCACACAGCAUGGCUUCCAGCCUGAAGUGACUGUAAAAUGCCAGUGAAUAGAGAGGCUCAAGGCUGAGUAAAGGAUCCUGCACACUCAACAGGCUCAUCCUUCUCUGCACCCGAGUUGUUCAUAGAGUCCCAGUUACAGAGCUUUCAGAAGGCGGAAUUCGUCCACAGCACACUAUUGAUGCCUAUCGAAUCUAAGGAAAUUAACUAAGAAGGGAAGAAAUAAUCUUCAUAGAAAAGGGAUUUGAGAACCCAGAAGAGGGUAUGGGCCUGGCAGUGUGCAUGCUGCAAACUAUGCACCAUCACUGGCCUAAAACGCACCUCUGUGUGCAUCAUUUACUCACGUUUAAAAAUCACCCUCUACUUGUUCUCCUGUGACCCUCAUUGGACUAUAUCCAGACAGCACUGAAAGUGAUAGCCAGAAAAAGUAGAAACAACCCAUGUGUUCAUCCACUGACGAAUGGAUCAAAACAUGUGGCGUGUCCAUCCAUACAAGGGGAUAUUACCCAGCAGUCAAAAGGAGCAAAGAACUGAUGUAUACCACACCAUGGCUGAUUCUCAACAGUAUGUUCAGUGAAAGAAACCAGUCACAAAAGCACAUGUACUGUAUGUCUAUUUAUAUGAACUGCUUGGAGGAGGCACCUAGUGGUUGCCAGGGGCUUGGGGUGGGGGUGGAGGGCAGGAAUGGGGAAUGCCUGCCCCCUCCAUGGGGUUUCUUUGUGGGGUGAUUAAAAUGUUCUAAAAUUGG